CAACCCCUGCGGUGCUCGUGAGGAGACCAUCCUCCUGAGCCGAUAAUCUAAGAACCUGGGAACCUUGCUCUGUUUGUGGAGUGUCGCCCCUCCAAUGGGGAAACCGGAAACAAUUAUCAGGGAUCCACCUUGACAAAAGGGUUCAGAGGGCAAGAUCCCACGGCACAGGCGGGGGCUUU
rnacentral:other from 1 species